GGGCCGGUAGAUCAGCCUGGUACGCAGCAUCGUUUGCUGGCCGAAGAUCGCCCGCUUGGCACGUUGCCAAGGACCCAAAAUGCGGGAAGGCACUAACCCUGCUCCGUAGGGCCGCGGGUUCAAAUCCCGCCCGGUCCA
rnacentral:tRNA from 1 species